GGCCUUGUAGUGUAACGGUUAUCACAUGAGAUUCUGACGAACGAGUAGUCGUUCUCAAGACCUAGGUUCGACUCCUAGCUAGGCCU
rnacentral:tRNA from 1 species